rnacentral:rRNA from 1 species
GACGAACGCUGGCGGCGUGCUUAACACAUGCAAGUCGAACGAAGUGGCGAACGGGUGAGUAACGCGUAAUCAACCUGCCCUUCAGAGGGGGACAACAGGUGGAAACGCCUGCUAAUACCGCAUACUGAAGGAGGGGAUUGCGUCUGAUUAGCUAGUUGGAGGGGUCACGGCCCACCAAGGCGAUGAUCAGUAGGCGGUCUGAGAGGAAGGACGGCUAAAUGGGCACUGAGACACGGCCCAGACUCCGACGGUGGGCAGCAGUGGGGAAUUUUCCGGAAUGGACGAAAGUCGGACGGAGCAAAGCCGCGGGAGUGAUGACGGCCUUCGGGUUGUAAAGCGAUGUUAAUCGGGACGCGGUACCGGAAUAGAAAGCCACGGCUAACUACGUGCCAGCAGCCGCGGUAAUAC